GCCGCUGUGGCUGAGUGGUAAAGUGCUUGGCUUCCAAACUGGGGGUCCUGGGUUCGAAUCCUGGUGAAGACU
rnacentral:tRNA from 1 species